GGGAGAAGGGUGGGGAUUAUUUCUGAAUUAGGCUGACUUUGGGCUGUAUAUUGCAUUGGUGCUCAGUGGAAGACGACGUACUGGAGAGCUGCAGACAGACAGAGCAGUGAUGCUUGUGCAACCUGCAGCUAUCAGGUAUGACAGGGCCAGCACGAGCUGUCAGAGCCCAGCUUGCUAGCCAUGGUGAGAGAACACAAGUUCUGCAGAAGGUUGGUGCUGAUUAAGGUCAGUGAAAGCAAGGAAACCUCUUCCCUUUCUGUAAGGGAAACAUCACUGUGGAGGCUCCAGGAGCCACCCAGCAGCACCAAAUAUCGAACAGCGCUUUGUGUAGUGCUGGGAUCAGCCUACAAGAGAGAAAAUAAUGAAAGUCUCCUCUUUCUGCCUGUUUGUUCAAACGAAGGGAUAUCAAAGGUGUUACAUCAGAGCUAUAUAUAUUUUAGGAACUCUGGAAUGAUCUUAAUUACAAAAAAGUUCUCCAGAAAGAAUUUAUGACUCAUAGUUUAUGUUCCGUUUAGUGUUGCUAUGGAAAAAGAGGUUACUGCCAAUGGUCAUACAACAAUAUUAAUCUCUGAUCUGAAAGAAAAAUAAAUAACCAUCUCCAACUUAACCCAAAGCAGAUUUGUUCCGCGUUACAGCAACAUGCUCCAUUAAAGGGGAUAACCAUGUAAGAAAAAUUAAAGGUGACAUUGAUUAUCAUCCUUCAGCACAGUCAGAGGUACCAUUAGAGAUAGCACUCACUCCCAGCUCGAGCAAGGAGCUGGAGGAGUAAGGGGAGGGAAGCAAGGUGGGUGUAUUGGGAGGGCAGGAGGACAGCCCUACUGACCAGCCGUAGGUCAGAGCCUCCUUGUGCUCACAGCUGGGCCCACCUUGGGGUGGGGGCUGGCUCAAGGGCAGUUUAUGAAACAGAACCCUAGCAACAGGCAGCUACAAGUGAUGGAAAGUGGCUGUUGGCCUAUUUUUUCUGUUUAUUUGGAAAAGCAAGGGUAGUGACUCAGGCAGGAGAAUGCCUGUGUGCAGAGUCAGCACCAAAGGCUGCUCUGGCAGCUGCGCUGCCUGGAGUUCCCUUCCCUGGGCCCUCACCAGGCCCAAGCUGCAGUGUACACGCUGAGCUCAGGUGCUGACGCAUUAUUUGGAGUGGCAGAAAGGCCUGAUGCCUUCAUGUAGCACCCAGAGCAAGUAAAAUUUCAUUCUUUAACCCAAAAGCAGACAGAAUGGUGGCAGUGUCUGAUGGGAGGAAGAUGAUGAGAUAAUGAGAUCAGUAAACUCAGAGGAGAGAAGGGGGAUGAGGUGAGGUGAGAUGUGAGAUGAGAUGAUCUUCAUUCAACAAGCGAUCAUCUCCUUGAGUUUAUUCAUUAUUAUGCACAGAGGCCUUUAUUCAGUCACAGACACACGCCCACUACUCCUUAGUGAAAUGCAUUCCACAAGAUACCUUGGUUCCAAUGCAGGUAAUGCCUCUCCUGGUACUCAUGGAUUCCACAUCUCCAGCUCCCUAUCUUCCGAUGCUUUUGCUGCCUUCUAUUUCUUUACAAUGCCUGUUUCCAACCCGUUACUUUUAGCCACAUUCUUCACUUUUUAUGGCAACAGGAGGACAGUGUUUUCAAAAGUUAUCACACUCAUUCUGUUCUGUACCAAACUCUCCCCUACCCUAUACAAUUACCUUACAUAGUACCUGUGCCCAUUCUACCUAGGUCACAACACCUCAGUCUCUACAUUACUCUGUUUUGGAGCUUUCUUUGUGAAAGACACAUUUUCCUGUGAAAUAUACAUAUAGAAUACAUACAAAUACAGAAAUACUUAAAUUUUCCACUGCGCAACACAAUUUACCUCUCACAAUUCCCCCUCUUUUUCUUAUAUAUAGAUAUAUAUAUAAAAUGAUUGGUAAGAAUAACAAUUUCAUCACCCUUUUAUGAUUUAUCGCAGUAUAAACAAGUAUUGAGUCAGAGCAUAAUCAGCAUUACAGUUCUGAGCUACUAAGGGAUGUGGGGGAGAUGGGGAAACUAGUGAACGCAAAGAAAGAAAUUCUAGCAAACAGUUUACAGAGCACCUAUAGUCACCACCAGUGAUGUCACACUGGCCUAUGGGGAGGCAGCAGGUUGAGGCAGCAGCUGACAUCUCGUUGAUUUACAUGGCUGCAUUUUGGCAGAUGGGGUACCAGUUCGUCCUCCUAAUUAUUCAGGCCCAUCUACCCCAAUAAUCAGGGCCACCUGGUACUGUCCAUCAUGACAACGGUAGCUGUCAAGGGACCCACAAUUUUUUUCAUCAGGAGAAACAGAGCAUCUGUCCUCUUACCACUGUGCUCGCAGUAGUCAGCCAUUAACUCCAAAAACUUGUUGGGCAGGUCAUGCCUUGGAUGGCUAUCAUUGAACAUGCUUUGAGCCAACCAUUCUCCAGCUUCUCAUGUCUCAGAUAACUCCCUCCGAACAAGCUUUGAGCCACAUGUUGUCCCAGCUUCUCACACCACCCGUCUGGGCCAAGCUUGUUAUCACUGUCCAAUGCUGGUAUCAAGAAAGAAAGCUUUAAGGAGAAUGAGGGGAGAAGGGGAAGAUACAUUUUAAAAUCACACAAAAGCCAAGGAACAACAUGUGAACGCCAUCAGUGCACGUAAUAGAACUUGCCUUACCCACAGAUCACCAAGAUGCUAGUAUAAGUAAUUGAAUACCUAGCACAACUUUCAGACUCCUUGGGUAAUUCAAGCUGCGCAAGUCACCUCAGCAUCUGCCAGACUUUCACAUACAAUAUGACUACAAGCAAUGAACACAGCAGUGUUAGGAUUAGUGAGAUCACAUCUAGGUGAAGCACAGAAUUCCAAACUCUUCUUGCUCUUGGUGACCAUCUAAGAAGCAUUUCCCUCCAGUGGUGUUCUCCGUCCUUCUUCACCCUUUCCAGGACAUGGUGAACAGCAAUCAGAGAGGUUUUUUUGUUUGUUUGUUUGGUGUUGGUGGUUUUUUUUCUGACCAUUAUCUCAGAUGCAUUCUAGUUGGUACAGAUCAUCAUGUUGCAGUGAUUUCUUCACUAAAGCAAGAUUCAUUCCAGUUGGGGUAAGAAGUAAAUCUUGGAUUAAUGUGUACUUGGAUCAUAAUGAUACGAUGUAACUGGAACUGAAUAAUUAAAGUCACAUCCCAUAAUGUUAGUAAACUUACAGAGACAUUUGAAUGAUUGCUUGUAUCUGCAGUAAUAUUACCUACGAGUAUAAAAUAAUAAGAGGUUCUCAUAUACACGUAUCCUUUUCCAAUAUAUAUGAGCACUAAUUCAAGGGUCUCAUUGGAAUUCCUCUGAACAUGGCAAAUACUUUGCUCAGUGUCAAGACAAAUGUCUUGAGCCAUGAUGGUAUUCGUCUCACAAAUAAAUCCUCUUGUUUCCCUACAGCACAUGACCUAACAUCAACAGUUUGCCACUUGUUCCCAUUUUGCUGGGCCCAAACUCUGAUUUGUAACAGGCAGAGUAUAACCCCAUUGUGAAUCAGUCCCAGCACAAUGACUGGGUAUAUGGUAUAUACCAAAGUGUUGUGUAUUGUCAGGACUAAAGCUGUGGCAUAGUUAGUGGCAUGAUCCUAAGUGACAUUAACUAGAUGCCACCAAGAUUGAAAUUCCCUUCCAAAUUUGUUUGCAUUGUCCCAAAUCACCUUUCAAAUUUCAGUGGGUAAAGCGUUUCCUUUACCUCCUACAAAGAAGAGCCAGGGAGACAUUACUUGAGUUAUGGCAAGUGCAUCUACAAUUAACUGGUGGUCUUUUAUAUUAGUUCUUUCCCACUGAGAUAAUACAUUAGAUAAGAACUGCUGAUGAAUUCCCAGUGCUGAUAGGGAACACCACAGAGUGUUGCAAUGCACGUACAUCACUUAUUGCAACUGACACCCUAUUUCUAUUCUUCGUCCUGCAUCUCCUCAGAGUUGCGGGAAUCAGUCAGUACUAUCCUGGCCCCAUUCAUUUCCUUAAUAUAUUUCAUUAUUGUGCUUGACUGUGGUUCAAAUGGUUAAGCCUUUUGAACACUGAACCACAGGGAUCCCAGGGGAAGGAGCAGGGUGAGAAGGGAGCACGUGAGGCACAGCAACAGGAUUGGCAUUCAUUACCAUCUGGAAAACAAAAAAGAGACAACUUCCCUGUUCCAGAGGAACCAAGGUUAGAGAAGGCAUAACUGGAAAAGAAAAGAAAACAAAAAAGCACUUCCUGGUCCCAGAUGAACCGCAGUUGAAAGCUCAGCGAUAUGCUGGUGAAUAACUGCUCGCUAGUGGGAUGCAUUACCCUGCAGGAUAAAGAAAAGCAUCACCAACGGGAUGGCUGGAUGUGGUCUGGAUGCUCCCAUGGUUUGGGUGCAGUUGUAUAGACAGUGCUUUUUCUGUGGUGGGAGCCCUGACAAAGCCAGCACCCUUCUCCAUCUGCUGCUGCAGCUCUCCUCGCAGUGACCACGACUACAGAAAGCACCUGCGCCAGCUGUAAGUGAGUGUAACUCUAACUGCAGUACAAAUAUUUGUAUUUUCUUCCUGCUGCAGAUAAUGAAAUGUGGAUUAUGUGAGUGGGUGCAGUUUUAAAUUACUCCCUAGAGCACGAGAACUCAGUAGAAAACAUAAUUUACUCGUCUUGUGCAUUCUUUCCAAACCUAGGUAAUUGCUUACGGUUUUAAACAACUCAGCAUUCAGCUGUGAGCUCCUGAAUGGCACAGAAAACUGAUUUCAACGAGUAUGGGUAGGCUGUAACUUUUGAUGUGUGACUCUAGGAGAGGGACAUCACACAGGCUGAGCCCAGAGCGGUUAGACCCAGAGGUGGACAGCAUGGCUGUCUUCAGUGACAGACUAUGGCCAUGUCAGGCUGAAGGACUGCUGAAAAUACAAGCGUGGAUUUAUUUCACCUUUUGUCAGAUUUGUGACUCAGGAGAAGGGAAACAGUCAACUUAUCCUUGUUCUUUUAAAAAUAAUUAAUAAAACCCAACCAAACCACUCUUUGUGUGCUAACGAGCCAAUGAUUCAAUUAAAAGCAGAUAAUAGGUGGUCUUUGGCAAUCAGAUAGUACUGGCAGUUAAGAAAUCACAUAUCUGUCUAAGUUUCCCAUAUGGCCUCGCGAACACCAGCCUCUGGGCACCUCUUACUCUGCUUGAAAAAUGGGAGUAGCAUGCUUUCCUAUCUCACAAGUGUAGAAGACCUUAUGAUUAUGAUAACCAUUAAAAUGCACAUAAAAAUAAAUGAUUUAGAAGGCUUUGGAAACACAGAGGUGGUGUAGUAGGAGUGCUCUGUGCUGCAACAGCCUUUCCCAUUUCAGUUACUGGUACAGCAUUAUAAGUGAGCUGGUGUUAACUUCUAGGCCUAACGUGUCCACAUGACAUCUGUAUUCUCUUCUGAUAAACAUCUGAGCUGUCUGGUAUUUCAUUUAGGAAGAUGAGAACAAUACACUGAAAAAUGCCAAUGGUUACAAACUGCAUAGCUAUUUUCCAUGAGAGGAGAGGAAAAAAAAAGGUGUAAUUUUUUUUUCCUCUUGAUCUAAUAUAAAAUUCUAGGAAAGGAGCAAUACCUCUUUUCAUUAUCUAGAUUUGAGUUCAAAAAUGGCACUUGCAUUUUCUGAUGUCAGUUUGUAUGUAGCUUGUGACCCUGAAUUCUAUUUUUCCUUGUAGAGCUGAAAAGAAGGGUGCCAGUUCUCUGCAUGCGAGCUUUUGCUAAUGCCAGGAGUAUGAGCAAAGUCAAAAGCAGUGCCUUCCUCUGGCUGUGACCAGCUCUUCCUGAGAACCUCUCAUAGGUCAUCAUCCCAUCCACAGCAUAUGCUGAGGAAGAAUAUGGCAACCACAGUUUGAAAGGAUCUUGCUUUUAAAGGGAAAAUAGCACAUCUCUGUAUUCUUCUCCAUUGUACUGGGAGAAGUGGGGAUUUCGGAGCAGGGCGUGAGGAGCGGUUUGACAUGCAGCAGUGAUGGAUGUCGAGAAGAGCUGACUGGUGUCCCUUGACGCCUUCUUUCUGCUUAGAGAGGAAUAAUGGCCCCCCAGGACAGCUUCUCAGAGCCAAGCUUUACAUCCCUAAAAUUGGGCACUCCUCUAAAAAAGAGAGAGAGAGAGAAUGAGAAUUAGCCAAAUCUCAAUCUCUGAACCAGGGGCCGGCAGCACCUGCAGGACUACAGGACCUGGAGUACAGAAGGACACCCUGAGCUCUACAUCUCUACUCAGCAAUGCUGAGGCUGUUGCUAAGCGACAGGUGAUGCUUGCUUUAGCCAAAAUUUGGCUCUUAAAGGCCCAGCAAAUCCCCUACUGAUGCAACUGCUGGGUUGCUGAGAACUUUCAGAACAGGACACAGGGCUGCCAAGAGGAUGGCACUGCAGGGCUGUUUGUUGGGAAGGUGAAGAUGCCAGGCACGGCUCCAGGUAACAGAGCAGCCCCGUGGCUUUAGAGCAGCACCUACUGCAAGAGAACUCCUGUGCAGUAUCUGUCACUGUGCUGUUGCUGCUGGGCCCCACGUGUGUGUGGCUUCUGUGACAGGAGCAGCAUCACAGAAUUACAUUACCAAUUCAUUUGCAAAUGCUGGUGGAGAUGUACUCAACAGUCCAAAUGAAAAAGAAAAAAAAGAAAGAAGGAGAGAUGGGUUUCAUCUUCCCACGUGCCUUGUGGCUGGUCCAUCCAGCCCAUUCUGCAUCUGUCAGAAUCAGUGCCCUGGGAGCAGUCAUCAUUUUUAUUAACCAUUAAACAAGAAGUUUCUUUUUAUUUGAAAAUGUAAACCAUGCAGAGAGUACUAUCAAUGGCCUCUAACCCAGCUCACAUUAACCUACGCCUCUGGGAGCUCCCCAAAACCUGACCACAAGCAGGGCUGGGUGCGCCCCGAGGACUUACACCUUGUCUAUGAGUGCCCGAUGUGAAGUCAUCCCCGGGUGCCUUACGGGGCUCUGAGCAAGCCUGAGGGUGGGAGGCUGCCGUGGGGCUGGCACACAGAACAGACUCUCUGCAUGCUAUUUUUUAGAAUUUAUUUUUAUUGUGCUGCCUUAGUUGCUUCUGUGUGAUACUGCGGAAUAUUCUACUGCUUUGUGGCUCUCAUUCAGAAAGGAAAAAUUAAAAAAAGGAAAAGUUAACA